AGUCGAGCGAAGUAGCAAUACUUAGUGGCAGACGGGUGAGGAACAUGUGGGUAUCUUCCCUUUGGUCUGGAAUAACACGAGGAAACUUGUGCUAAUACCGGAUAAGUCUUUACGGAGAAAGCUUUAUGCACCAUUGGAUGAGCCUGCACUUGAUUAGUUUGUUGGUGGGGUAAUGGCCUACCAAGACAAUGAUCAAUAGCUGAUUUGAGAGGAUGAUCAGCCACAUUGGGACUGAGACACGGCCCAAACUCCUACGGGAGGCAGCAGUGGGGAAUCUUGCACAAUGGAGGAAACUCUGAUGCAGCGAUGCCGCGUGAGUGAAGAAGGCCUUUGGGUUGUAAAGCUCUUUCGUCGGGGAAGAAAAUGACUGUACCCGAAUAAGAAGGUCCGGCUAACUUCGUGCCAGCAGCCGCGGUAAUACGAAGGGACCUAGCGUAGUUCGGAAUUACUGGGCUUAAAGAGUUCGUAGGUGGUUAAAAUAGUUGGUGGUGAAAUCCCAGAGCUUAACUCUGGAACUGCCAUCAAAACUUUUUAGCUAGAGUAUGAUAGAGGAAAGCAGAAUUUCUAGUGUAGAGGUGAAAUUCGUAGAUAUUAGAAAGAAUACCAAUUGCGAAGGCAGCUUUCUGGAUCAUUACUGACACUGAGGAACGAAAGCAUGGGUAGCGAAGAGGAUUAGAUACCCUCGUAGUCCAUGCCGUAAACGAUGUGUGUUAGACGUUGGAAAUUUAUUUUCAGUGUCGCAGCGAAAGCAAUAAACACACCGCCUGGGGAGUA
rnacentral:rRNA from 1 species